GUACGGUAACUAAUGGAAAUAGCCCUAUUAUUGUUAAUUUGAGUUAUGAAUGAAAAUCAAUUGUUUGUAAGUACCUGCGAGUUUGUUAUGGCAUUUUUGGAUAUUAUCAUGUCGAGUGUUGAAUAAAUGGGUUUUUAUAAAU